AACUUUUUUUUUAGAAUGUUCUCUGGAGGAAGCCGUCACCUGUGACAGCGGUGGCAACGCUUCUUUAGAUACUCAUGCAUUGUAUGACCAGUAUCACAAUGACGAGUGUGACUGGACUAUUAAGAACAAGGUAUAUACAAACAUGUACAAAUAUUGCAGUGCUAAAUGGAUGAAGUAGUCACUAUCCACAUUCAUGUGUUUUCUCAUGCUGUUUUUUCACAUGUAGGAUGGCAUUAACAGAAAUUAACAGAUUCUACAAGUAUAAAUGUCCAAUGCACCUUGCCUGAGAUUCACUUGCGCAUAAACUGCAUCAUUCCACAGCUAGACUGUCUAAUAACAUUCAUUCAUUCAUUUUAUACCGCUUAUCCGAACUACCUCGGGUCACGGGGAGCCUGUGCCUAUCUCAGGCGUCAUCGGGCAUCAAGGCAGGAUACACCCUGGACGGAGUGCCAACCCAUCGCAGGGCACACACACACACACACACUCUCAUUCACUCACACAAUCACACUACGGACAAUUUAUCCAGAGAUGCCAAUCAACCUACCAUGCAUGUCUUUGGACCGGGGGAGGAAACCGGAGUACCCGGAGGAAACCCCCGAGGCACGGGGAGAACAUGCAAACUCCACACACACAAGGUGGAGGCGGGAAUCGAACCCCGACCCUGGAGGUGUGAGGCGAACGUGCUAACCACUAAGCCUAAUAACAUGAUUAUUUUAUUUGUUUAAUAUUUCAUUUAAUAUUUUGUUUAAUUAUUCAUAAUGUUUAAUAGCUUCAUAUACUAUAUGAUUUAAUUGAUUACAUCUUGUGUCUUUCUUUUUCAGCGCGUUGACAAGUGCAUUUGCUACAAGUUAAAACCCAAUGAUCCUCCAAGUUAUGGAGCAAGUGAGUAGAACAUAAAAUUAAGCUCUUCCAUUUUUCUACAUUAAUUUGGCACUCAGUUUCUGUGACAUAUCACACAGUAAAUUAUGGAAUAUGGACAUAGUAUAUCAAUAGGAUAAAAUAAUUUGUCAUUCACUGUUGUUGAAAAUCUGUUUUACUUUAGAAAUCUGACCAAUGAUUUUGUCACUUAUAAUCCUGAAUACCUCAUUGUAUAAUUAUCUUGCAUGGGUUUUAGCUCGCAAUCACAUUGGGUGGGAAGUGGUUGUUCUGUGUGUAUUGUGGUGGACGAUUUGGUGGUGGUGCUGGAACUGACUGAUAAACAAAACAUUCACGAUCACAGAUGAUGAUGGAAGUUUGGCUUCACGCUUUAUUGGAUCUGCAAUUUUUAUGAUUUUAAUACACAAUUUGGCCAGAGGGUUGUGGAAACCUGACAAUCACACAAAGACACAUUU